CAACUUUCAGCAAUGGAUCUCUUGGCUCUCGCAUCGAUGAAGAACGCAGCGAAUUGCGAUAUGUAAUGUGAAUUGCAGAUCUACAGUGAAUCAUCGAAUCUUUGAACGCACAUUGCGCUCCUCGGUGUUCCGAGGAGCAUGCCUGUUUGAGUGUCAGUAAUUUCU
rnacentral:rRNA from 1 species